ensembl:lncRNA
GUCCCUCUCUGGCCCAGAAGGCUUCCGGGAUAUUCACAUAUUCUGAAUCGCCCCCAAGUGCCAAAGUUGGGGAAGGAGGAGGAUAACAUGUUCCCGAGGAGGGACCUCUGACCCAGCUGCCUGGUCCAGAGCCCAGCUCUUCAGAUAUGAUGGAACCAGUUCCACACCCGCGUGUGUCCUCGCACAGACAUGUAUGCAAGUGUUGAUGGUAUCAGCAGAAAGGGAGUCCCGGAGGGGUUUCUGAGGCAAUGGCUCUCCCUGGAGCUUCCAUCCCCGGAUGAAGACGUCUAUCUCUGCAUAGACAGAGGCAGUACCGGUUAAGCCCAGGCUGCUGGAAUCCAGGGAGGUUUUAUGUGAGGCUGUCUUGGAGUGAGAGCAAUGCCUGUGACCCAGAUUACUGCCACCCAUUUUAUGGAUGAAGAAACUAUGGUUGAGUGGAUGCCCAAGGCCAUGCUGCUACAGUGUAUUUGAGCUGGGAUCCAAGCUCCUGGUUACACGCUUCCAACCACAAAUCCAUACAACUCAUCUGUUCUAUUUCUUCUGGCUGGAACAACUUUCUCUCCUCUAGCUGCCUGGAAAACUCCUACCUGGCCUUCAAAACUCAGAUCCAAUGCCUCCUCCUCUGUGAAGCCUUCUCUGAUCCCACUCCAGACAGUUUCAUCUGCUUGGUACCCAGAGCAUCAUGCAUAUGUCUUUACUACAUUGCUCAUCAAUCUAUUCUGAAAUGAUAUGAACAAUACUCAUUUCCCCCCUCAAACUCUAAAUUCUAUUAUCACAGAGCUAAGUUUUCUUACUCCUUUACAUCAUUGACUGACACUGGAAAAUGCUGCCAAUGAAGCAGCCCAUUCCAUUUUUGCUUGGAUUUCACUGUUAGAAAGUUCUUUGUUAGGGUGAACCACACAGCUGGCCUCACUAACAUCCACCUCCUGGGAGGAGGAAGCAGUUGGUUCUACCAUCUUCCUCUCAUAGAAGCUCUUCAGAUGCUGAGCACACCUGUCACCUGUCCCAAGGGGCGUCCCUGAUCAUGUCCUGUGUUGUCCCCAGCCAUUUCCUAUAGAACUUCCCACUCUCUUCCCUCUAAACACAAAGAGCUUUUCCCUUUAACUCCUUAUUUGUCAUUGGUAUCAUGAAGGAGACUAUGGGGUCCACAGAAGCUGGGACAUUCCCUGGGUGAGUCUCCUCUGAAUGUCUUAUGUCCAGCCCAGCAUGUGACUCAUUUUGUUGAAUAUGUGGGUGAAUGGUUGGUUGAGGUCUUGAAUGUGAUAGAAAAAUCAGGAUGGUGAAUAAUUAAAGAUAGGUUUAAGGGCCAUCUGAGUGAGAAUGGCAGCCUUAGGGCAAAAAUUUCCAGUGACACCCUCAAUAGAAUCUUCUUUAAAUGUCCAGUCUUGCUGCUUCACUAACUACUCACAGAUGGGAAUGGACAUUAUUUCUGUCCUGCGUUGUCCAUUGUUGGAGUAGUGGGUGGUUCACGGUAUUUCAGGGCAAUCUGGGUUUGUCUGGGGGCUUAGAGUUUGCCAAGGCAGUUGAAUAUUCCUGAUUUAAGUUUGCAGCUCCUUUAGUCUGUGAUCGUCUUUCUUUCUUUCUUUCUUUUUUUUUUUUUGAAGAUUGGCACCUGAGCUAACAUCUGUUGGUAAUCUUCUUUUGUUUCUCUUCUCCCCAAAGCCCCCCGUACAUAGUUGUAUAUUCUAGUUGUAGGGCCUUCUGGCUCUGCUACAUGGGACACUGCCUCAGCAUGGCUUGAUGAGUGGUGCUAGGUCCGCGCACAAGGUCCAAACUGGUGAAACCCUGGGCCACUGAAGAAGAGCACGUGAGCUUAACCACUCAGCCAUGGGGCUGACCACUGUGGCCAUCUUUCUUCUCCACCUUAUUCACUCAGGCAGUAUUUACAGAGACAUUCUUCUAGGCCUAGUGUCUUGCCUUAGUCCAUGAAACUGAGUCAAACUACCCACGCCACUACCUUCCCAUCCAAUGCAACAAAGUCACCAGUAAUAUCUGAACUCUUUGACAGCUGUCCCCCCAACUAACUCUAGUCCAUUUGAUUCCAAACCUGCUGCCACCCAGGUGCCUAUGCCUCACACUCCCUAGACUCACAGUCUGAAUUGACAGAUUGACUCCAGUUCUGGCACAUCAUAAAUCUCUCUUUGCUCCAGAUUUUCCUCCAGGCAUUUGGACUCAGGCCCUCCUCUCUCUUCCCUUAAUUGGUUUGUUGCUUCAGCUCCGUCAUCACCUAUUUCUCCUCCCAGUCUGUUUGGAGUCUCACCUCUGCUUUGGACCUAGACCAUUGGGAUGAU